UACGUAUGGGGCAAGCGUUAUCCGGAUUUACUGGGUGUAAAGGGAGCGUAGGCGGCCUGGCAAGCCUGAUGUGAAAUACCGGGGCCAACCCCGGGGCUGCAUUGGGAACUGCCAGGCUGGAGUGCCGGAGAGGCAGGCGGAAUUCCUAGUGUAGCGGUGAAAUGCGUAGAUAUUAGGAGGAACACCAGUGGCGAAGGCGGCCUGCUGGACGGUGACUGACGCUGAGGCUCGAAAGCGUGGGGAGCAAACAGG
rnacentral:rRNA from 1 species